rnacentral:lncRNA from 10 species
GGGAGCCGUCGGUAGCGGCGUAGGCCCGUGCCCCUGCUCGCGCUGCAGCCCGUGGAAGGGUUCCGUCCAGCGUAUCCUUCAGAUCUUGCUGUAGGCCUCUGGUGUCUGUGCGCGCGCGGCAGGGGCGGCGGCGGCGACGGCCGGAGGUGUACGGAACUAACCUGUCAGGUACUGAGAGGCUUUGAAGAUGGCUCUUCAGGUUGGGGACACACCUUUAUUAAGGGGCAAGACUGCUGCCAGGAGUUGAUUCACAUACUCAGAGGUCUGGAAGCUCCGAGUUUAUCUUGGGAACUCAAGAGGAGAGGAUCACCCAGUUCACAGGUAUUUGAGGAUACAAACCCAUUGCUGGGCUCGGCUUUAAAAGUCUUAUCUGAAAUUCCUUGUGAAACAGAGUUUCAUCAAAGCCAAUCCAAAAGGCCUAUGUAAAAAUAACCAUUCUUGCUGCACUUUAUGCAAAUAAUCAGGCCAAAUAUAAGACUACAGUUUAUUUACAAUUUGUUUUUACCAAAAAUGAGGACUAGAGAGAAAAAUGGUGCUCCAAAGCUUAUCAUACAUUUGUCAUUAAGUCCUAGUCUCAUUAAUUGUUUUCAAGCUUUUCGCCUACAUUUUAGACUAACCCUGCUUAUUCCUGUGAAUCAAGUAGUGGUCUCCUGCAGCUUGGAAGAAAAAAUAAGGGAUGGGUAAUGUAAAAAUCUGGAUCAAUAUACUGGUUCUGGGCAAUUAUCCUGCAAAUUCUGCCAGGUAAUAAAAGUGAGUAGGGUGCCCAUAAUCCGGAAGUUUCUUUGUUUAGGAAAAUAAAAACAAGGAACUUCAUAGACCCCCCCCAAAGGGGAAUUCUAUAUCUUGACAAGUAAAAUUUUAGAUGGAAAUUAUCUACAACACCACACUUACGGAAAUUGCUAUCCUCACUCUAUUAUUUGCAAAAGGGUUAUACACAGUAGCACCUUCUAACUGAAGUAUUAAACAGAGUUUCCAUUGCUGUCGUAUUUUGCUUAAUUAUUAUCCUUAUAGCAGGGAUAAUAGUUACUAACAAAAAGGAAGCAUGAAAGUUUUACUAUCACUGAGCCUGGUAGGACUUUUUAUUGGGUUUAGUGAUGCAGUUUUAAAUGAAACAUGCCGCUUUUGGAUUAAUACCUCUAGUAAAGGAAAAUUUACAGAUACUUAAAAAUCAAAUCAAAAUUAUUGAUAGGCUCAGGAAAAAUGCCAGCUUCAGCCCUGAGUGGCUACAAACCCUCUUUAAUAAAUUCCAGUCUUCUUUAUGGAAUUGGUUAACGCCUUUAUUAAGCCCUCUCUUGCUUAUAUGUCUUGUAUUGAUAUUUGGACUCUGUAUAUACAAUACUAUAACUCGAAUUGUUUCUUCUCGCCUAGAAGCAAUCAAACUCCAAAUGGUGCUGUAAACUGAACCACACAUGGACAGGCCAUUCUUCCGAGGACCCUUAGAUUGAUCCCAGGGGGAGCCCUAGCUGCUAUUCCCCAUUCAACGCCCCUUUUCAGCAGGAAGUAGCCAGAAGGAGUCGCCGCCCAAAAUCCCCUAACAGCAGUUAGUGUGGCAUCUCCACAGGAAGUAAUGUUGUAGGAGUUACUAAGAAAUUAUUUUAGGCAGAUAGAGAGGAAAAGGGGUCCUUGGGAAGUUUUCAUUUUUUAAAGCAUCUCUGGAAAAGUUUCUUGUAAAGCCCCGGCUCUUAGAGCCAGGCUGGCAACCUUUGAUAUGCAAAUGUAAGCCAUUAGAAACCAGGUCCACCCAGGCCAGGUGUGGUGGCUCACGCCUGUAAUCCCAACACUUUGGGAAGCCUAGGCAGGUGGAUCACCUGAGGUCAGGAGUUCGAGACCAGCCUGGCCAACAUGGUGAAACCCCGCCUCUAAUAAAAACACAAAAAACUAGCCAGGUGUGCUGCUGUGUGUCUGUAAUUCCAGCUACUUGGGAGGCUGAGGCAGGAGAACUGCUUGAACCCAGGAGGCAGAGGUUGCAGUGAGCUGAGAUUGCAUCAUUGCACUCCAGCCUGGGCGACAGCAAGACUCUGUAAAAAAAAAAAAAAAAAAAAAAAAAAACAGCCAGGCGUGGUAGCACGCCUGUAGUCCCAGCUACUUGGGAGGCUGAGAUGGGAGGAUCACCCUCGACUGGGGAAGUUGAGGCUGCAGUGAGCUGAAAUCGCACCACUGCACUCCAGCCUGGGUGACAGACUGAGACCCUGUCAAAUAAAUAAUGUAUGUAUGUAUAUAUGUAUGUAUGUAUGUUAACCUCAUCCCAAAACAUCCUCACAGAACAUCCAGAAUAAUGUUUGACCAAAUAUCUGGGCACCAAUGGCACAUUCAAGUUGACACAUAAAAUUAACCCUCACAAUACCGUACUGUACAACUUUUGGAGUGAAGCUGGAAUGUCAUCGCAUUUCCAAGACUAACUCAGUGUCCACAAAUGAUGCUUAAGUCAUGAGGAUCAUCUCGGAUUUGGAUUUGGAUGCCUGUCAAGCCCUCACUCUUCAGACUAAAUGUCUGAUUUGCAUGGAGAAUUAUCAAGAGAAGCAACAAUGCCAAGCAGACUAUUCCAGGUCAAAAUAGUCAAAUUAAUAAUUCAUAAAUUAUUAUAUGUUUUGAAGGUAUUGCAAAAUUAAAGUUGCAAGAACAGUACAGAUAACUUUUUUCCUGAACCAUUUGAGAGUAGGUUGCAGACCUGGUGCCCCAUCAUUUCUGAAUAUUUUAGUGUGCAUUUUCUACAAACAAGGACAUUUUCCAGCAUAACCACAAUGCACCCAUCAAUGUCGUGAAAUUAAUGUUGGUACAUUACUACCACCUAGUCCUCAGACCCUAUUCAAAUUAUACCAGUUAUCAUAAUAGUUUCUUAUAAUUUAUAGCAAAAUGAUCCAAACCAGGAGCAUGCAUUGCAUUUUUAUGAAUUUUUAAAACAAUUAAGUCUGUGUAGUGAGUGAAGCCACAGUGAUAGGAAUAUAUAAAGGCUUUGCAUCUAGAAUUUGUUCUGAAAACCCUGAGAUUCAAGUAGUACAUUAUUUCAUUUACUAUUUUACACAGAGAAGCCCUCAUUUUUAAGAGUUUGCCUUUCUGAUUUCCACCGGAAAUGAUACUAUCAGUAUCAUACUCAGAAUCUUAAUUACAUACAAGGCACUAACCUCUCACCUGUUUUCAGCUUUGUGUAAAGACAAGGGAUCAAAACAUCCCUUUCUGCUAUUUCAUACUUAAGUGUGGGAGCUGAUCCAAAGGAAGAAUAGUUUCAAAAGUUUGUAGCAAAAAAAAUUUAAAAGGUGAAGAUUUUUUCCUUGAAUGAUUCUCACCUGGCAGAUCUAUGGAAAGAUUAGCUGACUCUUUGGAUCCCUGAAUAUAGUUAAUAGAAAUUUGGAAGGACCAUGUCAAAAUUAACUAAUGUGAACUGACAAAGAUUUGGUGUUCAAAGCAAAAAUUAAACUUUGGAAAAGUGAGCAAGUACUUAAUCAGAAACAAAAAAAAAAAAAAGAAAGGAAAAGUUAGGUGAAAAUGGUUUCCAGGUGUUGUUGCUGUUAUAGUUUGAAUCAUAAAAGUUGUUAAAAGUCUGCUGUAACAAACCAUCAUAGACUGGGUGACUUAUAAAGAACAAAAAUGUAUUUCUCACAGUUCCAGAGGCUGGGAAGUCUAAGAUCAAGGCAUCAGCAGAUUCAGUGUCUGGUGAGGGCCCACUUUCUGGUUCAUAGAUGGCACCUUCUCACUGUCUCCCCACGUGAUGGAAGGGGCAAGAGGUCUCUCUUGGUACUCUUUUAUUAAGGGCACUAAUCCCAUCCAUGGGGCUCCACCUUCAUGACCUAUUCAUCUCCCAGAGGCCCUACCUGCAGAUACCAUCGUAUGGGGGAUUUGAUUUCAGCCUGUGAAUUUGGGGGAAGCGGGACAAACAUUCGUUUUGUAGCAAAAGGAGUAGAGUAAUAUCUGCCAAUAACUGGAGGAAAGAAUUGUUCUUUUAAAACUAUUAAAUUGUUUAAUGGGAUUUAAAUGAUUUCAGGAAUGAAAUGGAAAUCCUGGUAAUGGGUAGAAACAUAGGUAAAUUCUCCUUUUCCACUUACCACCACCUGUGUGAACAACAAUCAUUUCUCAUUAAUAGUCAAGAAUUUGAAGAGAUCAUGAGUAAAAAGUCUUGAUCAGAAAUUGUGUAUAGCUGUUUCCAGCAUAAAACCUUAUAUAAAAUGCAUAUUCAUAGAAGAUGCUCAAGUAUGUCAUGAAAAAUAUGAAGUUUAUUUAAAUAUUUAUACAAAUUAAAGAUUUACUGUAUUCUCUAACAGCGCGUAUUUUCUUUUUUGUAAUAACUAUAUGAAAUAAAUACAAAGUAACACGUUUUUACCAAGCCCCCUUCCCAUCCUUCUCAUCACCCUCAAACUCCCUCCAAAUAGAGUCAGAGAAACAGCCAGAGGGAUGUCUCCACUGAGACACAGGGAGGUCUUGCACCCAGGCAGUUCAGCAGUUCCUGGGCGGGUGGCCCUUCCCAUCUGAGUACCCCUCAAUGUGCCUGCUCCUCCUGGGAUCCUUUCUGCUCCCUUGGGCCUCUGUUUUUGGUCUGCAAUGGUUGGUUAUGUAGAGGGAUCAGUAUUGGGGUUGUCCCAAGCCAGGCUACAGGUUGAGCAGGUAGCCACAUAGGCCACAUAGCAGGACGGGCCCAGCUGGGGACUCUGAUGUCUGCAAUUAGGGGUGGCAGGAAGUAAUGGAUGCACAGGCGCUGACUUGGCCUGGCCUUAAGCCUUAGUCUAGCGGAAAGGUCUGGCUGUUUACCUGCCUUCCUAUUUGGAGCUGAUCCCAGGACCAAACGGGAUGCCAUCGUACCAAGGGCAGGGAGAUGAAGGGAGGCCCUCAGAAGAGAAUGAGGCCUAAAUGCCAGGUAAAGGGCAGGAAGGGGUUCAAUCCCAGCAGCACCUCCUGGUGGUAGUUGGGGAAAUAAAAUGGCCAGAGAGGAGACUGGCCCUGAAGGCAUCUCCAGAGCUUGAGUCCCUCAGUAGCCAACCUGAGCUCCUAAACCCCUCUGGACUAGGUCCCCUUCUCCACUUAACCUGCCUCCUCAAGAAAG